CCUACGGGGGGCAGCAGUGGGGGAUAUUGCACAAUGGGGGGAACCCUGAUGCAGCGACGCCGCGUGGGUGAAGAAGCGCCUCGGCGCGUAAAGCCCUGUCAGCAGGGAAGCAAAUGACGGUACCUGAAGAAGAAGCCCCGGCUCACUACGUGCCAGCAGCCGCGGUAAUACGUAGGGGGCAAGCGGUAUCCGGAUUUACUGGGGGUAAAGGGGGCGCAGACGGCGAUGCAAGCCAGGAGUGAAAGCUCGGGGCCCAACCCCGGGACUGCUCUUGGAACUGCGUGGCUUGAGUGCAGGAGGGGCAGGCGGAAUGCCUGGUGUAGCGGUGAAAUGCGUAGAUAUCAGGAGGAACACCGGUGGCGAAGGCGGCCUGCUGGACUGCAACUGACGUUGAGGCCCGAAAGCGUGGGGAGCAAACAGGAUUAGAUACCCCGGUAGUC
rnacentral:rRNA from 1 species